UGGGGAAUAUUGCACAAUGGAGGGAACUCUGAUGCAGCGACGCCGCGUGAGUGAUGAAGGAAUUCGUUUCGUAAAACUCUGUUCUAUGGGAAGAAAAGGACUGUCCCAUAGGAGAAAGCUCCGGCUAAAUACGUGCCAGCAGCCGCGGUAAUACGUAUGGAGCGAGCGUUGUCCGGAAUUAUUGGGCGUAAAGGGUGCGCAGGCGGCUUUACAAGUUGGAUGUGAAAUAUUGUGGCUCAACCACAAACGUGCAUCCAAAACUGCAAAGCUUGAGUUAAGGAGAGGUAAGUGGAAUUCCUGGUGUAGCGGUGGAAUGCGUAGAUAUCAGGAGGAAUACCGGUGGCGAAGGCGACUUACUGGACUUAAACUGACGCUCAGGCACGAAAGCGUGGGGAGCAAACAGG
rnacentral:rRNA from 1 species